rnacentral:rRNA from 1 species
GACGAACGCUGGCGGCGUGGAUUAGGCAUGCAAGUCGAACGGUAUGGACCUUUCGGGGUUCAGAGAGUGGCGAACGGGUGAGUAACACGUAGGUAAUCUACCCUCAAGACGGGGACAACCCAGGGAAACUUGGGCUAAUACCGGAUGUGUGUAGUGGCUAUUUUUCUGAUUAUCAUUAUUUACGUAAGUGAGUAAUAAUAAAGAAGGGAAAGUGGUUAUUACAUAAAAGGUGGCGUAAGCUGCCGCUUGGGGAUGAGCCUGCGUCCUAUUAGUUAGUUGGUGAGGUAACGGCUUACCAAGGCGAUGAUAGGUAGGCGGCCUUAACGGGUGGUCGCCCACACUGGGAUUGAGAUACGGCCCAGACUCCUACGGGAGGCAGCAGUCGAGAAUAGGUCUACAAUGGACGGAAGUCUGAUAGUGCGACGCCGCGUGAACGAAGAAUCCCUUCGGGGUGUAAAGUUCUUUUAUACGUUGAGCAGUGUCCUUUAUAUUAAUAGUAUAAGGGGAGAGAUAUUAGCGUAUGAAUAAGCAACGG